rnacentral:lncRNA from 1 species
UAAAUAUGUAAAUUAAUAUUAAUAUGAAUGAGGAUAUGUACAUGAGUAUGUACUUGAAUAUAUCUAUAAACAUGAAUAUGAAUAUAUUUGUAUAUAAAUAUGAAUAUGUAUAUUUGUGUAUUAAUAUGAAUAUGAAAAUGUAUAUGAAUAUGAUCGUCAACACAUAUAUGAACACAAAUGUGUCUGUUAAUAUGAAUAUGAAUAUGUACAUGUAUAUGAAUAGAAUAUGAAUCUAGAGAUGAAUAUGAAUAAGUACAUACUAUGUACAAGAAUAUGAAUAUUAGUAUAUGUACAUAUGCAUAUUGUAUAUAUGAAUAUGCAUAUAAAUAUGACUGCUUAUGAAUAUUAAUGUGAAUUUGAACAUGAAUAUGUAUAUGAACAUAAAUAUGAAUGUGUACAUGUACAUGAACAUAAAUAUGAAAAUUUAUUUGAAUAUAAAUAUGUACUGGUACGUGAAUAUGUGUAUGCAUAUGUAUAUGCUCUUGUAUAUGAAUAUGAAUAGGUGAAUGAAUAUGAAUAUGUACAUGAACAUGAAUAUAAAUAUGUACAAGUACAGAUACCUGAAUAUGAAUGUGUAUGAAUAUUAUAGUGGUUAGGGAUUAAGAGAUGUCAAGGAUUAAGAGGAUUAUGUGUGUGUCUAUGAGGGUGUGUCUAGAAGGAAUGUGGGAUAGCCAACUGAAAUGGAGACCCUCCCAAAGUGUGGGCAGCAUCGACCUAUAAGAUGAUGGCUUAGAUGGAAUAAAAGUUUCAAGAACAAGGAAGCAGCAGAUGCAAGCUCCAUUCUUCUUGAAUGUGUUCUUGAUUGCUGAUGUAAUCAUCUGGGGAUAUCACUUCCUCAUUCUUCCAAAGUGGACUCUGCCAGUGAUUCCCUAGGAGCCUUCAGUCUCGAAACUGGGGUAUCACCAUUGAUCCCUCUUGUUCUGGGGCUCCAACCUCUUGGACUAUGAUGCUACUGGUUCUUCUAGCUUUCCAGCCUGUAGGUGGCCAUUGUGGACUACCCAGCUUCUAUUCAUGAAAGACAACCUAAUAAGUCCUCUUUUUUUAUAAUUAUACUUCCUGUUGAUUUUGUUCCUCUAGAGAACCCUAAUACAAAUAUGAACAUGUACAUAAAUAUGUGUAUG